GACGAAACGCUGGCGGCGUGCUUAAAAACAUGCAAGUCGAACGGACUUCUCAUGAAGCUUGCGAUUGAGAAGUUAGUGGCGGACGGGUGAGUAACGCGUGGGCAACCUGCCCCUGAGCCCGGGAUAACAGUUCGAAAGGACUGCUAAGACCGGAUAUACUUGCGGUGAAGCAUUUCACUGCAAGGAAAGGGAACGCUCAGGGAUGGGCCCGCGUCCCAUUAGCUAGUUGGUGAGGUAACGGCCCACCAAGGCGACGAUGGGUAGCCGGCCUGAGAGGGUGAACGGCCACACUGGGACUGAGACACGGCCCAGACUCCUACGGGAGGCAGCAGUUGGGAAUCUUCGGCAAUGGGCGCAAGCCUGACCGAGCAACGCCGCGUGAGUGAUGAAGGUUUUCGGAUUGUAAAGCUCUGUCUUCCGGGACGAUAAUGACGGUACCGGAGGAGGAAGCCACGGCUAACUACGUG
rnacentral:rRNA from 1 species